rnacentral:rRNA from 1 species
UACACUCCUACGGGAGGCAGCAGUGGGGAAUUUUGGACAAUGGGCGAAAGCCUGAUCCAGCAAUGCCGCGUGAGUGAAGAAGGCCUUCGGGUUGUAAAGCUCUUUUGUCAGGGAAGAAACGGUGAGAGCUAAUAUCUUUUGCUAAUGACGGUACCUGAAGAAUAAGCACCGGCUAACUACGUGCCAGCAGCCGCGGUAAUACGUAGGGUGCAAGCGUUAAUCGGAAUUACUGGGCGUAAAGCGUGCGCAGGCGGUUUUGUAAGUCUGAUGUGAAAUCCCCGGGCUCAACCUGGGAAUUGCAUUGGAGACUGCAAGGCUAGAAUCUGGCAGAGGGGGGUAGAAUUCCACGUGUAGCAGUGAAAUGCGUAGAUAUGUGGAGGAACACCGAUGGCGAAGGCAGCCCCCUGGGUCAAGAUUGACGCUCAUGCACGAAAGCGUGGGGAGCAAACAGGAUUAGAAACCCUGGUAGUCCCAUGA